rnacentral:rRNA from 1 species
AUUGAACGCUGGCGGCAUGCCUUACACAUGCAAGUCGAACGGCAGCACGGGUGCUUGCCCCUGGUGGCGAGUGGCGAACGGGUGAGUAAUACAUCGGAACAUGUCCUGUAGUGGGGGAUAGCCCGGCGAAAGCCGGAUUAAUACCGCAUACGAUCUACGGAUGAAAGCGGGGACCUUCGGGCCUCGCGCUAUAGGGUUGGCCGAUGGCUGAUUAGCUAGUUGGUGGGGUAAAGGCCUACCAAGGCGACGAUCAGUAGCUGGUCUGGGAGGACGACCAGCCACACUGGGACUGAGACACGGCCCAGACUCCUACGGGAGGCAGCAGUGGGGAAUUUUGGACAAUGGGCGAAAGCCUGAUCCAGCAAUGCCGCGUGUGUGAAGAAGGCCUUCGGGUUGUAAAGCACUUUUGUCCGGAAAGAAAUCCUUGGCCCUAAUACGGUCGGGGGAUGACGGUACCGGAAGAAUAAGCACCGGCUAACUACGUG